ACGAACCCCAUUUCUUACAUUUUAUUUUCCACCAAAACCUCAUUCUCUUUUCUCUCUCCUACUAUCCACUCUUCUUUUAACUACUACCAAACUUACUUCCGUCUCCUCUCUCCAACAUAUUCUGCAACAAUCUAAUUACAAAAAUGAAAAAAUCCCCAAACUUCGAAACCCUUUUCCUCACCAUCUCUCCUCUUUUGCCAAUUCCACCACUGCAUUGAUCGACCGGCCUCUGACGGAGAUUCAGCCGCCAUUUUCCAUUUACUCAUCAAACUUGAUGGAGACUCAUCCUCCGCCUAGCCGCCCUCCUCGAACCAACGUCACGGGAACCUGGGCUGGCCCGCGGCCUCAAGCAGCCUCCAGAUGCAAGAGCAAUUCUGCAAAUUUCCCUCGCUCCUAUUCCUAUUCCUUUUUUUUUUUCUUUCUUAUUCAGCUGACUUCAAUUCGUGUUGUGUUUGUGCAGACAAUGUGUGUGCGUGCAGAACAAGAAUAAUUGAUUCAGUAUUAUAGAAAUAUAGAAUUUAAAACUAGCCUAAAAAAAGUCCAUGGACGCCAAAGAAGACACGGAGCUGAAGCAAUAUAUUGAGGGCCAUGUUGCUUGAAAUUGGUGAACUUUUCCUAAAAAUGUUGGUACUAAUUUUUUUACCACAAAACUCUUCAAAAAAAAAAAAUAUCGUUUAACUUCGCACAAACCCCUACCUAUAUAUUAUGCUAUAAUUUAUGUGUGAUGUAUUAGUUGAUCUUAUUAUCUCAUCAAUUAUGGAGUACAAAUGCAUUGAAACUUACAGAGAUUAUGGUUAAUGAGUGAAUAUGAGAUUACUAUAUUGUUGAGCUUUAUGAUUUCAAUUGCAAAUUUUAUGUUUGCUAAGUAUGAAUUGCUUAAGUUAUGUCCUUAGCAUUCAAAUUUUGAAUAUCUGUGUGCAAACUGAACCCAUUUAUAUGAGAUUGAUUAGAUCCAAUUUGAAUAAUCUGAAAAUAUAGAAAUAGUAUGUUCUGGAAUAAACAAAUGCAAGAGAUAACGAGUUAAUAUAUGAGGUGUUUACCAAAUAUUUAGUUAUAAAGAACGAUUUUGUUUUUGUAAAGCAAGACAACUAUAUUUGUGCUCAUUCUUUUUAAUUCCCUAAAUUAUUUAUAUUUAGUAGUGACUAUUUUUUUUUUGUCAAGUGUGGAUGUCCUAUUGAGAAUAUAGAGACUUAGUUUGAAUGGCUGCCAAAAGGUUUUUGUUAUGGGAAUUGAAUUUGUAACAUGCACCUAUCUAAAAUGAAAGGUUCUUUAAGUGGGGAAGAUUCACAUUUUUUUGGUGUUGUAGAUGAAAGACCCUUAAAGCUUUUUUAAUGAACUUAGACCUAACAAGUUGUGAUUUUUUGAGAACUCUUCUUCAGCAUACGAAAGAUGUUAUACACUACCAUCUAAUGGGAUUUUCUUAUGGUGCAAGAAGGCAUGAGGACCUAAUCUAUUGCAAGGGUGUUUCCGAAGAUUUUCGGUUAUGGGCAUCAUGGAGGUAUAUAUGUGAUGUCAAGCAUGGGAAGAAACAUGGAGAUUGAUGUGCUCUGAUCACAAGCAGCAACAUUAUUCUAUCAAACUUUAAAGAGGCACGCCGUCAACUCGCUUGUGCUUAGUGUCUUCUACCAAUCCGGAUUGUUUAGGCUUGAUGUUGAUGUUUCUGUUCAGAAUAAGGGACAUGUUGUUGCAGUUGACUUUAUUAUCCUCAUCUCGGUGUUGUGGUGGCAGUGGUGAGCAAACUGGUUGAAUCAACGGUGACUAUUCUUCUUGGAAAACUCUAUGUUGUGCAGAUUUGGAGGUCAAGUUUUUGGCUUCCGACUUACUUUGAAUGAAACUUUCUUUUCGCCUAAAAUGAACACUUUACUUAUUGUAAUCAACGAAAUUAUAGUUUUGUUUGU